rnacentral:rRNA from 1 species
GAUGAACGCUGGCGGCGUGCCUAAUACAUGCAAGUAGAACGCUGAAGGAGGAGCUUGCUCUUCUGGAUGAGUUGCGAACGGGUGAGUAACGCGUAGGUAACCUGCCUGGUAGCGGGGGAUAACUAUUGGAAACGAUAGCUAAUACCGCAUGACAACAGUUAUUGCAUGAUAACUGUUUAAAAGGGGCAACUGCUCCACUACCAGAUGGACCUGCGUUGUAUUAGCUAGUUGGUGAGGUAACGGCUCACCAAGGCGACGAUACAUAGCCGACCUGAGAGGGUGAUCGGCCACACUGGGACUGAGACACGGCCCAGACUCCUACGGGAGGCAGCAGUAGGGAAUCUUCGGCAAUAGACGGAAGUCUGACCGAGCAACGCCGCGUGAGUGAAGAAGGGUUUCGGAUCGUAAAGCUCUGUUGUAAGAGAAGAACGAGUGUGAGAGUGGAAAGUUCACACUGUGACGGUAUCUUACCAGAAAGGGACGGCUAACUACGUG